CAGUCGCCACGGGAAUACGGAGGGCGCGAGCGUUACCCGGAUUUACUGGGCGUAAAGGGCGUGUAGGCGGCCUGGGGCGUCCCAUGUGAAAGGCCACGGCUCAACCGUGGAGGAGCGUGGGAUACGCUCAGGCUAGAGGGUGGGAGAGGGUGGUGGAAUUCCCGGAGUAGCGGUGUAAUGCGCAGAUACCGGGAGGAACGCCGAUGGCGAAGGCAGCCACCUGGUCCACUUCUGACGCUGAGGCGCGAAAGCGUGGGGAGCAAACCGGAUUAGAUACCCCUGUAGUCCCUGUCUCUUAUAC
rnacentral:rRNA from 1 species